rnacentral:siRNA from 1 species
AGGUACAAACGCUGAUUGUGUUGG